UUACAAGCCUCAGGACACUGGCCUAAAUAGUCUAAUCCAGGUGAGCACCUUGGUAUAGCGCGGAGUCCCACGCUGACCUUACUCAGUAUCUGGAUAACUAACUACAACAAUGGUGUAGCGCGGAAUCCCACGCUGACCUCUAAAUUUUGUUGUCCUGAAUCUUAUAAUACCCAAUAUACCUUGUUAUGAAUUUAAAGUAUGCUAUCUU
rnacentral:lncRNA from 1 species